rnacentral:rRNA from 1 species
UACGGGGGGUGCGAGCGUUGUCCGGAAUCACUGGGCGUAAAGGGCUCGUAGGCGGUUUGUCGCGUCGGGAGUGAAAACUCAGGGCUUAACCCUGAGCCUGCUUCCGAUACGGGCAGACUAGAGGUAUGCAGGGGAGAACGGAAUUCCUGGUGUAGCGGUGAAAUGCGCAGAUAUCAGGAGGAACACCGGUGGCGAAGGCGGUUCUCUGGGCAUUACCUGACGCUGAGGAGCGAAAGUGUGGGGAGCGAACAGG